UACAGAGGGGGCAAGCGUUGUUCGGAAUUACUGGGCGUAAAGGGCGCGUAGGUGGCCUUCUAAGUUUGAACGUGAAAUCCCUGGGCUCAACCCACGGAACUGCGUCCAAGACUGGGAGGCUUGAAUCCGGGAGAGGGAUGCGGAAUUCCGAGGUGUAGCGGUGAAAUGCGAUAGAGUAUCUGGAGGAACACCGGUGGCGAAGGCGGCAUCCCUGGGACCCGGCAUUGGACGCUGAGGCGCGAAAGCGAGGGGAGCAAACGGGGAUUAAGAAACCCCCGAGUACGUCCCGAGAACCAAAGAUCUCUGCUACCCGUA
rnacentral:rRNA from 1 species